rnacentral:rRNA from 1 species
GACCUGGGUAUAGGGGCGAAAGACCAAUCUAGACCGGUAAUAGCUGGUUCCUCUCGAAACUGCUCGCAGGCAGACCUCAGCAGAGACGGGGCAUGCGGUAGAGCACUGAUUGCGUGUUUAGGAAGCGAAAGUUUUCGGCAUGCUGUCAAACUCCGAAUGUGUGUCCGUCGUAGAAGCUGGGCAGUGAGGGCAUCGGGGUAAGCUUGAUGUCCAAAAGGAAAACAAACCAGACCAAAGUUAAGGUCCCUAAGUAACAGCUAAGUGUUAAAGAACAAAUAGUGUUUGAAGGCAUAGACAGCUGGAAGGUUGGCUUAGAGGCAGCCAUCCUUUAAAGAGUUCGUAACAGAUCACCAGUCAAGUCUCUGAGCCUAGAAAAUGGACGGGACUAAGUUGUUCACCGAUACUUUGGGCCACCGAAAGGUGAUGCGAUAGAGAGGCGUCGUGCGCGGGUGGAAGUGGGGCCGUGAGGUCCUGUGGACCGCGUACGAAUGAUAAUCAUGGAAAUAGUAGUAGCGUAGAUGGGUGAGAAUCCCAUCCGCCGGAGGGGCUAGGGUUCCUCGACGAUGUUCAUCAGUCGAGGGUUAGUCGGUCCUAAGGUUCCCCCUAACAGGAGGAAUCGAAAGGGAAGCAGGUUAAAAUUCCUGCACCAAUUCACAUUUUGUCCAUUUCCUGACACAUCGGGUCCAGUGGAACACUCUUGUCUGAGUGUUGCCUUCAGCAAUAAAUUUGUGGAGUACCGUAAUGGUGAGAAACAAACUAAGCUGUUGGGAGGCGAAGUAUUUCGCUUCUGCUCUAGCCUGGUGUCCGUGAAAAGGGAUCUGGAGUCGUGUGAGUUGUCCGUACCGAGAUCUGACACAGGUGCCCCUAGGUGAGUAGCCUAAGGCGUCGCGGCAGAAUCCGGGCGAGGGAAUUCGGCAAAUUAGCCCCGUACCUUUGGUAUAAGGGGUGCCAGCUCUGUAGAGAGCUGGUCGCAGUGACUAGGGAGCUCCGACUGUUUACUAAAAACACAGGUGGCUGCUAGUCCGUAAGGAUGUGUAUAGCCGCUGAAUCCUGCCCAGUGGCGGUAUCUGAAACCCGGUUACAACCGGACGAAGGACCGCUAAACGGCGGGGGUAACUAUGACCCUCUUAAGGUAGCGUAAUACCUUGUCGCUUAAUUGGCGACUUGCACGAACGGCCUAACGAGAGCUCUACUGUCCCCGCCCGGAGCCCGAUGAAAUUGACUUACUGGCGCACAGUCCAGUACGUCCCAGCCGCAAGCGAAGACCCCGUGGAGCUUUACUGCAACCUGCCGUUGUGGCACGAGUUGUUUUGUGUAGAGUAGACGGGAGACAUUACACAGGUGCGAGCGCUAGCUCGUCGCCGAGUCACCGAUGAAACACCGUCCUUUUCGAUUCGUCCCACUCACCUCUUCGGAGGAACCCCGGUAGGCGGGCAGUUUGGGUGGGGCGCCACUCCCUCGAAAAUAUAACAAGGGAGCCCAAAGGUCAGCUUAGGUAGGUCAGGAAUCUACCGUUAAGCGCAAGGGCAAAAGCUGGCUUGACGUGGUUUGGCAACACAACAAACCACGAUGCGAAAGCAGGGCCUAGCGAACCAACCAGCGCCGUUAGUAGGUGCGGUUGAUAACAGAAAAGUUACCCCGGGGAUAACUGAGUUGUCUGGAGCAAGAGCCCACAUCGACCUCCAGGCUUGCUACUUCGAUGUCGUCUCUUCCUAUCCUGGGUGUGCAGAAGCACCCAAGGGUGGGGUUGUUCGCCCAUUAAAAGGGAUCGUGAGAUGGGUUUAGACCGUCGUGAGACAG